rnacentral:rRNA from 1 species
UACGAAGGGGGCUAGCGUUGCUCGGAAUCACUGGGCGUAAAGGGUGCGUAGGCGGCUUGUUAAGUCAGGGGUGAAAUCCUGGAGCUCAACUCCAGAACUGCCUUUGAUACUGGCGAUCUUGAGUCCGGGAGAGGUGAGUGGAACUGCGAGUGUAGAGGUGAAAUUCGUAGAUAUUCGCAAGAACACCAGUGGCGAAGGCGGCUCACUGGCCCGGUACUGACGCUGAGGUGCGAAAGCGUGGGGAGCAAACAGG